rnacentral:tRNA from 1 species
GCCUUCAUAGUGUAAUAGUCAGCACGCUCGAUGCGUAUUCGAGAGGUCCGUGGUUCAAAUCCCGGCGAUGGCA